ACUCAAAGGAAUUGACGGGGGCCCGCACAAGCGGUGGAUUAUGUGGUUUAAUUCGAAGCAACGCGCAGAACCUUACCUAGGCUUGACAUCCCUUGACAAACGUAGAAAUACGUCUUUGUAGCAAUACACAAGGAGACAGGUGCUGCAUGGCUGUCGUCAGCUCGUGUUGUGAAAUGUUGGGUUAAGUCCCGCAACGAGCGCAACCCCUGGAUUUAGUUGCCAGCAUUAAGUUGGGCACUCUAAAUCAACUGCCAGCGUUAAGCUGGAGGAAGGUGGGGAUGACGUCAAGUCCUCAUGGCCCUUACGCCUAGGGCUACACACGUAAUACAAUGGAUGGGACAAAGGGUCGCCAACUCGCAAGAGGGAGCUAAUCUCAAAAACCCAUCCUCAGUUCGGAUUGGGGGCUGCAAUUCGCCCCCAUGAAGGCGGAAUCGCUAGUAAUCGUGGAUCAGAACGCCACGGUGAAUACGUUCCCGGGCCUUGUACACACCGCCCGU
rnacentral:rRNA from 1 species